UUUUUUUUUUUUUUUUUCUGUCAGAACCACAGCUCCCUGCACAGCUUCCUCUACAGCUUUUGCAGUUUUAUUCCUGCCUCCAGGAAAACGAACUCUGCUCUCUGCUCCAUGGUGGGUGUGGUUCAAGGACUGGAGUCUGCUCCCAACACAGGACUCAUACAGGAGUAGUCUUGUGUGUUGCUGCUGAGCAGCAGGUCCACAGACUCUUGAUUGUUGAGCAGCACUCACUGCUGGUUAGCACACACAAAUCACAUUCAACCAGUCCUUCUUUGCUGUUUGUCCAGGUUCCUUCUGACCAUUCAGUAGAUGAGUUUGUACUUCACAUUGCUGAGUUUGGGUCUACUUGGUUGCAGCUCCUGAAGAGACUGUGGUCUAAGUGCAUGGGCUGCACCAUGGCACAUGCAUUCUCAACCUCUUCCCCUUCCAUUCAAGAUCUCAAAACAUAUCUAUGGCAACUGCAGCUCUUGCUUGCAAGAAAACAGAGACAUUAAGAAAUGCCUGUCUCUCCUUCCAGAGUUUGGCAUCAAAACAUAGGAUGCAAAUUCAAUGUCUCUCAGUUUCCUGGGAACCAUGGCCAUCUCCUUGGUCUCCAUGGUCUUCUACAGGGCCUCUUGGCCACUAGAGCACUAUAGUUACCCUAAAUACACAGCAGCAAUUAAGCACAAUACUUGGCUUGAAGAAAUCCAUUUCAUGCUUAAAGAAUUCUACAGUGGGACAGUAGGAGGAAGACAGUGUAGGAAAAGAAUUAACUCAUUAUAAAGGAGCAAAAUAUGAAAUAGCAAGCAGCUUGCAUUUCAUAUGGGCAGAAAGGUGACUUCUAUGAGAAAAAAACUGGUGUGUUGGAACAGACUGUUCCAGCAAAGCACACAGCUAAAUGUGGCACACAGACAUGAGACAUGUUAUUCACCCACAAGCUCCAAACCUACAGAGGAAGCAGACGCCUGUCAACAUUUUGAUUUAUAAUAGAAUUAGCAUCACAUGACAGCAAAACCAAAAGAAGGCUUAAAAAGAUGACCCUAAAAUGGAAGAGAAAAAUGCAGGUAUUGAAAGGGCUCGUUAUACUCUGCUGAUCAUGGCUGGCAAAUACCAAGAACAAAGAGGUGAGAGGGGCUGUAUUUGUAAGAGAGUCUGCCACUCCCCAGUAUUUGUGUACAGCUACAAACCACACCAAUCCUUUGGGGAACAACAGAGUGGCAUUAGAAUGAUGUACACCUGGCAAGAGAGACUGCUCUAUGCUGUUUGACUAGUCAUCAAAAUAUCCACUGUGCCUUUUUCUUUCUUUUUGCUAUGAUUUAUUUUUUUAACUGUUGCUCAGACAAUCAAUGAUUCAUUUGUAAAUGAAAACCAUUUUUCCUUCUUCCCAGGGAUACUACAUAUAAACAAAGAAAAGGGUGUUUCAAGACAUCCUACUGUAAUAUGUGUCUUGUUCUGUAAGGUUGCAGUGAUUCUAUCCAAGGCUGAGGUUUUAGAGAAGUUAUGUUUCUUAUUAAACCAGCUGAUAAUAUGGAGAAGAAACAAAGUUUUCUCAGUCUUCUUGUGUAUUCUGUUUUCUUUUUCGCAAGACUAUGCCAUUUUGUCUUUACUUUUCAUUACAUCUCUCUACAAAGCUAGGUAGUUCAUGCUAGUUAUAGCAUGUUAUACAGUAGUCAUGCUGCUAAAUCACAGAAAAUUCUUUGUGAAAAGAUACCACAGGCAUUAAAGUUAAAAAGAACUUUUCUGAAAAUAUUUAAUCUUUUUGUGCAGGUUUUAGACCAUGCCAUAAGAGCUCAGCAUAGAUGCUGUAAACUCAGCCGAGAAAAAGGAGUCAAGAAAAAUGUAAUCCUCAGGUGCCUGCAUUCAGGUAGGAGACAGAAAAAGUACCAACAACAUCCCACACAGAUACAAAAUGGUGUCUUUUUUUUUUCUUCUCACAAAAUUGGAAUGUUUAGCUUUAGUAUCUAACGGAUUAAAUC
ensembl:lncRNA